UGGUGGGUGGGACCCAGUGGGAGGUGAUUGAAUCUGUGUGGUGGGCGGGACCCCGUGGGAGGUGAUUGAAUCUGUGUUGUGGGCGGGACCCGGUGGGAGGUGAUUGAAUCUGUGUGGUGGGUGGUGAUUGAAUCUGUGUGAUGGGAGGUGAUUGAAUCUGUGUGGUGGGCGGGACCCAGUGGGAGGUGAUUGAAUCUGUGUGGUGGGAGGUGAUUGAAUCUGUGUGGUGGGCGGGACCCGGUGGGAGGUGAUUGAAUCAUGGGGCGGUUCCCCCAUACUGUUCUCGUGGUCGUGAAUAAGUCCCACGAGAUCUGAUGUGAAAGUUUUAUGAGGGUUUCUCCUUUUGCUUGGCCUCAUUCUC
rnacentral:lncRNA from 1 species